rnacentral:tRNA from 1 species
UGCGGUGUCGAGGAAGGUGCCACCCGAUUCGGCGAAUCGGUCGAAGAUCCGGCGGGCGUCGUCCGGCUCGGCUCCGGCGCCCCAGCC